UACGUAGGGUGCGAGCGUUAAUCGGAAUUACUGGGCGUAAAGGGUGCGCAGGCGGUUGAGUAAGACAGAUGUGAAAUCCCCGAGCUUAACUCGGGAAUGGCAUAUGUGACUGCUCGACUAGAGUGUGUCAGAGGGAGGUGGAAUUCCACGUGUAGCAGUGAAAUGCGUAGAUAUGUGAAAGAACACCGAUGGCGAAGGCAGCCUCCUGGGACAUAACUGACGCUCAGGCACGAAAGCGUGGGGAGCAAACAGG
rnacentral:rRNA from 1 species